rnacentral:rRNA from 1 species
UACAGGGGGGGCAAGCGUUGUUCGGAAUUACUGGGCGUAAAGCGCGUGUAGGCGGGAAGAUAAGUCGGGUGUGAAAUCCCUGGGCUCAACCUAGGAACUGCAUUCGAAACUGUCUUUCUGGAGUGAUGGAGAGGAAAGCGGAAUUCCCGGUGUAGAGGUGAAAUUCGUAGAUAUCGGGAGGAACACCAGUGGCGAAGGCGGCUUUCUGGCCAUCAACUGACGCUGAGACGCGAAAGCGUGGGGAGCAAACAGG